rnacentral:rRNA from 1 species
GUAACAGGUUAAGCUGACGAGUGGCGAACGGGUGAGUAAUAUAUCGGAACGUGCCCAGUCGUGGGGGAUAACUGCUCGAAAGAGCAGCUAAUACCGCAUACGACCUGAGGGUGAAAGCGGGGGAUCGCAAGACCUCGCGCGAUUGGAGCGGCCGAUAUCAGAUUAGGUAGUUGGUGGGGUAAAGGCUCACCAAGCCAACGAUCUGUAGCUGGUCUGAGAGGACGACCAGCCACACUGGGACUGAGACACGGCCCAGACUCCUACGGGAGGCAGCAGUGGGGAAUUUUGGACAAUGGGCGCAAGCCUGAUCCAGCCAUGCCGCGUGCGGGAAGAAGGCCUUCGGGUUGUAAACCGCUUUUGUCAGGGAAGAAAAGGUUCUGGUUAAUACCUGGGACUCAUGACGGUACCUGAAGAAUAAGCACCGGCUAACUACGUGCCAGCAGCCGCGGUAAUACGUAGGGUGCAAGCGUUAAUCGGAAUUACUGGGCGUAAAGCGUGCGCAGGCGGUUAUGCAAGACAGAUGUGAAAUCCCCGGGCUCAACCUGGGAACUGCAUUUGUGACUGCAUAGCUAGAGUACGGUAGAGGGGGAUGGAAUUCCGCGUGUAGCAGUGAAAUGCGUAGAUAUGCGGAGGAACACCGAUGGCGAAGGCAAUCCCCUGGACCUGUACUGACGCUCAUGCACGA